GUGAAAACAGAAGUUGCUCUGGAUUUUCUAGGGACCAUAUAUUGGUCGGCACAUCCAAACAUUUGGUAAACACUUCUGGGAAGGAGACAUAGCAGUGGCUGUUCUUGGAAAUCAGAAGAGGGAUUGAUGUCAAAUCUCUGCAUCUCCAAACCGCAUGAUGGAAAAGGGCAGAACUGCCAGCAUUUACGUUUAGAAGACCUCUUUGCCAGGAACAAAUGCUGACUAUUUGAUCUGCUCUGGGAUCCAUUCAAGAUUCUGUUUACCCAGCUUUUGCUCUGAAUUGUAACGUUAUAGAUUACCAACUUAACUUACCAACCACUACAGAACUGGUGAUUCAUGUCUGAAGCAGUCUUUCAGUACCAGCUGCAGUCCUACAGGUGGUAAAUCUUCUCUAUUUUCAGAGCAUCCCUGGGAAGAGCCCUGGAGUGAAGGAGGAGAAGCACAGGGGGUGGUGUGGCGCUGAACAGAGCCUGGAAAUGCUAUCUCUCUCAAAAUGCUGUACUCCAGGGAGCCCUGAAAGCUGCUGCAACCUAUCUCAGAAAAUGCUAUGUCAGAAAGAGAAAUAGAUUUUUUUCCUAAACUUCCUUGAAUUCUAAAGACAACAUUUAAGGCAAUCCUAAGAAGUAGCCACAGAAUGUAUGUGACUUUUUUCCUUUUUUUUUUUUUCCUUUUUUUUUUUUUUUUUUAAGUGCUUGUCUGAAAAUACUGCCUGAUAUGCCUGGAGAGAACCUUGGAGUACCAAAGGAAAUACUUGUGUCAUUGGCUUACUAAAUGAAUAGUAACUCUAUGGAUGUCAGAAUGAUUCAG
rnacentral:lncRNA from 1 species